AAAGUACUCCCUCCGUCCCAAAAUUCUUGUCUUAGAUUUGUCUAAAUAUGGAUGUUUCAAGUCACAUUUUAGUAUUAGAUACAUCCGUAGAAUUUUGGGACGGAUGGAGUAGUUG
rnacentral:pre_miRNA from 1 species